rnacentral:rRNA from 1 species
GACGAACGCUGGCGGCGUGCUUAACACAUGCAAGUCGAGCGGAAAGGCCCUUUCGGGGGUACUCGAGCGGCGAACGGGUGAGUAACACGUGAGUAAUCUGCCCUUCACUUUGGGAUAACCCCCGGAAACGGGAGCUAAUACCGGAUAUGACCGGCAACCGCAUGGUUUGUUGGUGGCAACUUUUUGGGUGGGGGAUGUGCUCGCGGCCUAUCAGCUUGUUGGUGGGGUAAUGGCCUACCAAGGCUUUGACGGGUAGCCGGCCUGAGAGGGUGACCGGCCACACUGGGACUGAGACACGGCCCAGACUCCUACGGGAGGCAGCAGUGGGGAAUAUUGGACAAUGGGCGGAAGCCUGAUCCAGCAACGCCGCGUGAGGGAUGACGACCUUCGGGUUGUAAACCUCUUUCAGCACCGACGAAGCGUGAGUGACGGUAGGUGCAGAAGAAGGACCGGCCAACUACGUGCCAGCAGCCGCAGUAAGAC